rnacentral:rRNA from 1 species
UACGGGGGGAGCAAGCGUUGUUCGGAUUUACUGGGCGUAAAGGGCGCGUAGGCGGCCACCGCAAGUCGACUGUGAAAUCUCCGGGCUUAACUCGGAAAGGUCAGCCGAUACUGCGGGGCUAGAGUGCAGAAGGGGCAACUGGAAUUCUCGGUGUAGCGGUGAAAUGCGUAGAUAUCGGGAGGAACACCAGUAGCGAAGGCGGCCGGCUGGGCCGACCCUGACGCUGAGGCGCGAAGGCGUGGGGAGCGAACGGG